rnacentral:rRNA from 1 species
UACGAAGGGGGGCUAGCGUUGCUCGGAAUCACUGGGCGUAAAGGGUGCGUAGGCGGGUCUUUAAGUCAGGGGUGAAAUCCUGGAGCUCAACUCCAGAACUGCCUUUGAUACUGAGGAUCUUGAGUACGGGAGAGGUGAGUGGAACUGCGAGUGUAGAGGUGAAAAUUCGUAGAUAUUCGCAAGAACACCAGUGGCGAAGGCGGCUCACUGGCCCGUUACUGACGCUGAGGCACGAAAGCGUGGGGAGCAAACAGGG